GUAAUACAUAAGUAACCUGCCCUAGACAGGGGGAUAACUAUUGGAAACGAUAGCUAAGACCGCAUAGGUACGGACACUGCAUGGUGACCGUAUUAAAAGUGCCUCAAAGCACUGGUAGAGGAUGGACUUAUGGCGCAUUAGCUGGUUGGCGGGGUAACGGCCCACCCAAGGCGACGAUGCGUAGCCGACCUGAGAGGGUGACCGGCCACACUGGGACUGAGACACGGCCCAGACUCCUACGGGAGGCAGCAUG
rnacentral:rRNA from 1 species